GCCAUGUACAUGUGGGAAGAGGUUCAGGGGUUUGUGGGAUUUGGAUAAUUGGAAGUUUUGUUUGCUCCAGUUGGAGAUUUUAUAUGCAUUUGAGAGCCGUGGGUUUGCCAGUGCUCCACUUUCUCAGGGGAAGGAGCGUCGGCAAUCGGUGCAUCACAUAGGUUUGGCUGAGUUUAGGAUUGGUGAAGUAGUGGUACUGUGAAGAUAAACUGUCACGUAUUGUUAUUGCCUUGCUCAGCCCGAAGUGGAAGGACGUCGAAGGUAUUCAGAAGCUGAAGAAUGAUAUACUUGCAGGGAAACUGGGAUGUCGCAUUCAGGUGUGGUGAACCAGCAUGGGUGACAUUAAAACUGCCUGGCCAGGAGGGCGUGCACGGCCGUCUGGAGGCGGCCACCAGCUCCGGGCUGGACAGCGAGGUGCGAGGCACAGACGGCUUCUGGGCGCGCCGGCUCGGCGCUGACACCCUCGAGGUCGGCCACCCAGCUGCGCCAGCGGUCUACCGACACACGCUG